GGGUCGUCCUCGGCUGCGAGGGGUUGCCCACGGCGCUACGACUUGUUGUGAAGCAUUUACAGCUGCUCCACUUAUGCAUAUUUUCAAACAGGCAGGAUCUUUUGAAAACGAUACCUAAUGUUAUAUUAUUAAAAUGGCUAUCCAUACAAGGCAGAGAGUGUAAAAAUGAAAAUGCUGACAGGUUCAAGCAGGACAGUUUCAGGAAAGUAUGACUUGAGAGAGGCAGCCAGACAGACAAUCCAAAUGCUUCAGUUGGCAGGAUGAAGUGAUAUGCUAAUGUAAGAGAAAAGGUGGGUGUACAAUGGCAAGGAAAUAAAUACCCGUUAAAGGGAUGGGAGGUCUAGGACAGUGGUUCUCAACUUUUUUUGUACCAGGACCUAUUUAUGAAGAUCAGUGGCCAG